rnacentral:rRNA from 1 species
AGUAAAAGUCGUAACAAGGUCUCCGUAGGUGAACCUGCGGAGGGAUCAUUACUGAGUGAGGGCUCAAAGCCCGACCUCCAACCCUUUGUGAACCAAACUUGUUGCUUUGGGGGCGACCCCGCCGUUUCGGCGACGAGGCGCCCCCGGAGGCCUUUAAACACUGCAUCAAUGCGUCAGAGUUUUUUUAUACAAAUAAAACAAAACUUUCAACAACGGAUCUCUUGGUUCUGGCAUCGAUGAAGAACGCAGCGAAAUGCGAUAAGUAAUGUGAAUUGCAGAAUUCAGUGAAUCAUCGAAUCUUUGAACGCACAUUGCGCCCGCCAGUAUUCUGGCGGGCAUGCCUGUCUGAGCGUCAUUUCAACCCUCAUGCCCCUAGGGCGUGGUGUUGGGGAUCGGCCAAAGCCCGCGAGGGACGGCCGGCCCCUAAAUCUAGUGGCGGACCCGUCGUGGCCUCCUCUGCGAAGUAGUGAUAUUCCGCAUCGGAGAGCGAUGAGCCCCUGCCGUUAAACCCCCAACUUUCCAAGGUUGACCUCAGAUCAGGUAGGAAUACCCGCUGAACUUAAGCAUAUCAAUAAGCGGAGGA